rnacentral:rRNA from 1 species
CUACUCCGGGGAUAACAGGCUAGUCUUGCCCAAGCGUCCACAGCGACGGCAAGGUUCGGCACCU